UUAAAAAAAGAGAAUGUGGAAACUGGGGCUCCCAAAGAGGCAAGAAAUUUGUCAAGGACAUCCAGCCAGUUUAUGGCAGGGCAGGGAUUAAGCCUAGGCAUUCUAGCUCUGGAACACAUGUUUAACCCACUGUGCCAUCUGACCAUCUGCUUGUAGCCCCCUUCAUGGCUACACUCCUUGGGAUGCGGUAGGAGUGCCAUCUUCCCUUGUUUUGUUUGCACUGAGUGGCAGAGCUCUGGAUAUUCUCUGAUACCCUGGAUUAUUGAUGAUACCUGGUCUGGUGUUAUUUUCAUUUUGAUACAGGCCAUAGUUGUCCAGGAGGUAUGGCUUGAGCUGCCUAAAAACCUCCUUGCUGAGCUUCAAAUGAAUGAAUCCUCAGGUCUGUUUUCAGGAAACCACUGCCAGUAUUGCUUUGGACACCUCUAUCCUCUAGUAUGUUUGGAAGUAUGUGGGGCAUCUCAUCAUGUCACUAAGCCCGUGAGAGCCUUGUCCCUUGCCCAUGGGUGUGCCACUUGGUCCCAGCACCAAGCUGCAUCACCUUCGAUUAGCAGCCUGCUGGGGAAAAGGGCUUGAGGAAGAACUCCCUGGCAGUCCUGACUUGUCUCAUUUCCCAAUACUUUUAUCUGUCACUGCAAGCGCUUGGGCUCCCCUCCUGAACUAAUUAAGUUUGCAUGUGUUUAGACACAUUGCCAAAUAGGGCUUAGCAAAGCGGAACUGAGCUACAUCUCUUUCUGAGUAGGAAGGAAGGGUGUAUGAAUGCUCCUCCACCCGGGCCAGGGAGAAGCAUGGGUGACAUGAAGUGGCUCUGUGUGCAGGUGAUUGGCAUUCUGCCCUGACCCUCCUGGGGAUGCAGCAGCUGGCAAACCUUCCCAUUGGCUGGCAGGGGCCAGGUGAGGGCCCACCCUCCAGCUCUCCUAGCAAUUUCGGUAUUCUAAGACUUCUGAAAGAGAGCAGGAAAGAAAGAGAGAGAGCAGGCUCUAAAGUGUGAUUUUUCUCACAAACUCAAGCAAAACCAAAUGCUAAAUUUAGUGGGAUUUGCAGGGAGCAUUUUUAGGGUUUUGUGCUGUUUGCUGCCCACCUGACUUACCGAGAUCCCAGACCUCAAAUGUCCUCUGUGACUGAGAGAUCGCGGGGUAUCCCCUUUUUAAGUCUGUGAGAAGUACAGUGGGAACUUGUACAACUGAAGUCUCUCCAUUUUGCCUAGAAGAACCCCAGUUCCUCCUCUUCAGACUCAUCAAUUUGUGAGCUGGUGCCAGGGUUGGCAGGGAGGAAGGGGUUAUUACACAAAUGAGACUAGUAUUGUGCAGGAUCUCCUCACCCUGGAGGUUUGGGGUUCAGCCUGAAGGAUCCCCAUUGUGAUCUGUUGGCUGACAGCGUGUUGCCAUGUCAGACUGGUGCCUGCCUUUUCCCUAGUGCUGGGUGACCUGUGGUCUGAGAUGCCCUGAGUGGGGGUCUUUCUUACAGAAAGGAGGACAUCCAGCUGAGGGCCAUGGUCAGGGCCUCAGUCCUAUAACUCUGAGGCCAUGGGUCAUCUUCUGGCCAUAAAGAGGUUCUUGAUGGGCAAGUGUGGCUUGGAGUCAGGCCAGGCUCACAGUGCACGCAAACUCUUUCUCCUCGGGAAUACUGUUGGAAACUGCCACGGAAGGUGGAGCCACAGCAGAGCUUGAAGUGCUGGCAUUCCAGCAGUAGCCUAAGGCUCCAGCAAGUGUAUCAUCUUUCUGAAGUCUGUGGUUGGAAUUGUAACCUGCAGCCGUCCCAGAGGAUGGGGGCAAGUGUGGGGGCAAAGUGGGCUGAGAAGUCGGCAGUGCAUUCUCCCAGGGCCGUGGGCAGGCGGAAAAGGGAAGGAGUGUGUGUGUGUGUGUGUGUGUGUGUGUGUGUGCACUUGAGCAAAGGAGACUGAAGCUGAGUCUUUGUAAGUGUGCUCCACAAUUACCCUCCCAGCACCAGAAACGAGAUGGCCUUUCUCAGUAGUCCCUCCAAGAGGGGUCAUUAUGUUUCAUGAUGUGGUUAUCUUCUGGGUGGGCACCAAGACCAUAGGAAUCAGAUUUGAUUGAGGGUCCUGGGUUUCAGUGGGUUUCAGAGGGACCCUUGAGGGUCCUGGGUUUCAGUGAUUUGCAUCAAUAGGUGGUGGCAGUUGAAGUAGAAAGUUCUCCCAUUUUGUGUCUAGACUGAGGGUUGGCUUUUGUUCCCUGGUAUUUGUAUGCUGAUUCUUUGGAUUUGGCACCUCCAACGUGUCCCCUCCUUCCUCAACUCCUCUCCUUAUCCCCGACUUCUUUGAGUUCAUUUUUGCAAGUGUUGAGUGCUUCUGGAACUUUCUCUUUGCCUACAAAGCUUCCUCAGCCUCCUUUUCCUGACUAAGACACAGUCUCCUCAAUACAGGUGGCCUAGAAGCAUCUCUAAAGGCUGUUGCAGGUUUGGUCUUGGCUAAUCUCAUUAUAACCAGUACCCUUUCUUUUGAGUGCUUAUUUAUAAAAUAUGUUUCCCUUGGCUGACUCGUUUAACCUUCACAGAACAGGGCAUAGAGGUGAUAUGACUC